rnacentral:misc_RNA from 1 species
GAUGAAGAACGUAGCUAAAUGCGAUAAGUAGUGUGAAUUGCAGAAUUCAGUGAAUCAUCGAAUCUUUGAACGCACAUUGCGCCUCCUGGUAUUCCGGGAGGCAUGCCUGUUCGAGCGUCAUUAAAAUCACUCAAGCUUAGGUUUACCUAUUGCUUGGUCUUGGAGAUGGAAGCCAAUUUAUUGGAAUCCUCUUCGAAAUUCAAUGGCGAAGACCCUUGCUCUCCCAAGUGUAGUAAUAACUUAUGUCACUGAAGGAAGCGAGAAAUCUUCUGCCGUAACCCCCAUAUUUUCUAUGAUUGACCUCGGAUCAGGUAGGGAUACCCGCUGAACUUAAGCAUAUCAAUAAGCGGAGGA